rnacentral:sRNA from 1 species
AGAUGCCAGGGGCAAAAGGUCUGAAACCACAUGAGCUUGCUCAUAAGUGGGCGAAAGACCUUGCGCCCCGCCCCGAUAUGAGCAUAAAAGCAGGAUAAUAAUCCCGCGAUAUGUGAAUAUUGGGGCGGAUUGUUGGAGUGCACAGCACGGAACAAUCCGCAGGCAUCA